rnacentral:rRNA from 1 species
AGAGUUUGAUCCUGGCUCAGGAUGAACGCUGGCGGCGUGCUUAAUACAUGCAAGUCGAACGAGAGAGUUUGGAUAGCUUGCUAUCUAAAUGAUCUAGUGGCGAACGGGUGAGUAAUACAUAGGCAAUCUGCCCUAAGGACUGGGAUAACGAUUAGAAAUGAUCGCUAAUACCGGAUAGGUAAUAAGAAGGCAUCUACUUAUUAUUAAAGUUGGGUUUCCAACACCAUAGGAUGAGCUUAUGCUGUAUUAGCUUGUUGGCGGGAUAACAGCCCACCAAGGCGAUGAUACAUAGCUGGUCUGAGAGGAUGAACAGCCACAUUGGGACUGAGACACGGCCCAGACUCCUACGGGAGGCAGCAGUAAGGAAUUUUCGGCAAUGGGCGCAAGCCUGACCGAGCAACGCCGCGUGAAGGAUGAAGGUCUUCGGAUCGUAAACAUCUGUUGUAAAGGAAGAAUGUUAUAUUGAGGAAAUGCUAUAUAAGUGACGGUACUUUACUAGAAAGUCACGGCUUACUACGUGCCAGCAGCCGCGGUAAUACGUAGGUGGCAAGCGUUAUCCGGAUUUAUUGGGCGUAAAGGGUGCGCAGGCGGAUUGUUAAGUUUGAGGUGAAAGCGUUGGGCUCAACCCAAUACAGCCUUGAAUACUGGCAGUCUAGAGUGCAGAAGAGGGUAAUGGAACUCCAUGUGUAGCGGUAAAAUGCGUAGAUAUAUGGAAGAACACCAGCGGCGAAGGCGGUUACCUGGUCUGCUACUGACGCUCAGCACGAAAGCGUGGGGAGCAAAUAGGAUUAGAUACCCUAGUAGUCCACGCCCUAAACGAUGAGUACUAGAUGUUGGAUUAUCAGUGUCGCAGCUAA